rnacentral:rRNA from 1 species
GACGAACGCUGGCGGCGUGCUUAACACAUGCAAGUCGAACGGAAAGGCCCCUUUGGGGGUACUCGAGUGGCGCACGGGUGAGUAACACGUGAGUAACCUGCCCUUGACUUCGGGAUAACUUCAGGAAACUGGGGCUAAUACCGGAUAGGAAUCCUUGCUGCAUGGUGGGGGUUGGAAAGCUUCGGCGGUUUUGGAUGGACUCGCGGCUUAUCAGCUUGUUGGUGGGGUAGUGGCUUACCAAGGCUUUGACGGGUAGCCGGCCUGAGAGGGCGACCGGCCACAGUGGGACUGAGAUACGGCCCAGACUCCUACGGGAGGCAGCAGUGGGGAAUAUUGCACAAUGGGCGGAAGCCUGAUGCAGCAACGCCGCGUGCGGGAUGACGGCCUUCGGGUUGGAAACCGCUUUCAGCAGGGGCGAAGCUUGUGGUGACGGUACCUGCAGAAGAAGCACCGGCUAACUACGUG